GCAAGGGGAGCGGCAGACGGGAGAGUAACACGUGGGAACGUACCCUUUGGUUCGGAACAACCCAGGGAAACUUGGACUAUUACAAAAUAAGCCCUUACGGGGAAAGAUUUAUCGCCGAAGGAUCGGCCCGCGUCUGAUUAGCUAGUUGGUGAGGUAACGGCGCACCAAGGCGACGAUCAGUAGCUGGUCUGAGAGGAUGAUCAGCCUCACUGGGACUGAGACACGGCCCAGACUCCUACGGGAGGCAGCAGUGGGGAAUAUUGGACAAUGGGCGCAAGCCUGAUCCAGCCAUGCCGCGUGGGUGAUGAAGGCCCUAGGG
rnacentral:rRNA from 1 species